rnacentral:rRNA from 1 species
CGCGCGGGCGGAUCUGUAAGUCUGUCUUAAAAGUGCGGGGCUCAACCCCGUGAGGGGAUGGAAACUGCAGAUCUUGAGUAUCGGAGAGGAAAGCGGAAUUCCUAGUGUAGCGGUGAAAUGCGUAGAUAUUAGGAAGAACACCAGUGGCGAAGGCGGCUUUCUGGACGAAAACUGACGCUGAGGCGCGAAAGCCAGGGGAGCGAACG